UACGUAGGGUGCAAGCGUUAAUCGGAAUUACUGGGCGUAAAGCGUGCGCAGGCGGUUUUGUAAGUCUGUCGUGAAAUCCCCGGGCUCAACCUGGGAACUGCAUCUGUGACUGCAUUGCUGGAGUGCGGCAGAGGGGGAUGGAAUUCCGCGUGUAGCAGUGAAAUGCGUAGAUAUGCGGAGGAACACCGAUGGCGAAGGCAAUCCCCUGGGCCUGCACUGACGCUCAUGCACGAAAGCGUGGGGAGCAAACAGG
rnacentral:rRNA from 1 species